rnacentral:piRNA from 1 species
UGAGGACCUGAGUUUGAACCCCAGAACGCA